CCAUGCCGCGUGUGUGAAGAAGGCCCUCGGGUUGUAAAGCACUUUCAGCGAGGAAGAACGCCUAGCGGUUAAUACCCGCUAGGAAAGACAUCACUCGCAGAAGAAGCACCGGCUAACUCCGUGCCAGCAGCCGCGGUAAUACGGAGGGUGCAAGCGUUAAUCGGAAUUACUGGGCGUAAAGCGCGCGUAGGUGGCUUGAUAAGCCGGUUGUGAAAGCCCCGGGCUCAACCUGGGAACGGCAUCCGGAACUGUCAAGCUAGAGUGCAGGAGAGGAAGGUAGAAUUCCCGGUGUAGCGGUGAAAUGCGUAGAGAUCGGGAGGAAUACCAGUGGCGAAGGCGGCCUUCUGGACUGACACUGACACUGAGGUGCGAAAGCGUGGGUAGCAAACAGGAUUAGAUACCCUGGUAGUCCACGCCGUAAACGAUGUCGACCAGCCGUUGGGUGCCUAGCGCACUUUGUGGCGAAGUUAACGCGAUAAGUCGACCGCCUGGGGAGUACGGCCGCAAGGUUAAAACUCAAAUGAAUUGACGGGGGCCCGCACAAGCGGUGGAGCAUGUGGUUUAAUUCGAUGCAACGCGAAGAACCUUACCUACUCUUGACAUCCUGCGAAUUUGGUAGAGAUACCUUAGUGCCUUCGGGAACGCAGAGACAGGUGCUGCAUGGCUGUCGUCAGCUCGUGUUGUGAAAUGUUGGGUUAAGUCCCGUAACGAGCGCAACCCUUGUCCUUAUUUGCCAGCGCGUAAUGGCGGGAACUCUAAGGAGACUGCCGGUGACAAACCGGAGGAAGGUGGGGACGACGUCAAGUCAUCAUGGCCCUUACGAGUAGGGCUACACACGUGCUACAAUGGUCGGUACAAAGGGUUGCCAACUCGCGAGAGUGAGCCAAUCCCGAAAAGCCGAUCUCAGUCCGGAUCGGAGUCUGCAACUCGACUCCGUGAAGUCGGAAUCGCUAGUAAUCGUGGAUCAGAAUGCCACGGUGAAUACGUUCCCGGGCCUUGUACACACCGCCCGUCACACCAUGGGAGUGGACUGCACCAGA
rnacentral:rRNA from 1 species